rnacentral:tRNA from 1 species
GGGUGAUUAGCUCAGCUGGGAGAGCAAGUUGGUAGAGCAGUUGACUUUUAAUCAAUUGGUCGCAGGUUCGAAUCCUGCACGACCCACCA